rnacentral:rRNA from 1 species
UGCGUAGGUGGCGUGGUAAGUCAGAUGUGAAAGCCCAGGGCUCAACCCUGGAAUUGCAUCCGAUACUGCCGUGCUAGAGUACUGAAGAGGUGACUAGAAUUCUCGGUGUAGCAGUGAAAUGCGUAGAUAUCGAGAGGAAUACCAACGGCGAAGGCAGGUCACUGGGCAGUUACUGACACUGAGGCACGAAGGCCAGGGGAGCAAACG